GGUCCCAUAGCUCAGUCGGUUAGAGCACCUGACUCAUAAUCAGGGAGUCACUGGUUCAAGCCCAGUUGGGACCACCA
rnacentral:tRNA from 1 species